CAUAUCAAUAAACGGAGGAAAAGAAACCAACAGGGAUUGCCUCAGUAACGGCGAGUGAAGCGGCAAAAGCUCAAAUUUGAAACCUUCGGGAUUGUAAUUUGAAGAUUUGGCAUUGGAGAAAGCUAACCCAAGUUACUUGGAAUAGUACGUCAUAGAGGGUGACAACCCCGUCUGGCUAACCGUUCUCCAUGUAUUGCCUUAUCAAAGAGUCGAGUUGUUUGGGAAUGCAGCUCAAAGUGGGUGGUAAACUCCAUCUAAAGCUAAAUACUGGUGAGAGACCGAUAGCGAACAAGUACUGUGAAGGAAAGGUGAAAAGAACUUUGAAAAGAGAGUGAAAUAGUAUGUGAAAUUGUUGAUAGGGAAGGAAAUGAGCGGAGAGUGGUUGAGGUUUCAACCAUCCCUUGGGAUGGUGUAUUGCCGACGCCGAGUCAUUGUCCGCGAGACGAGAAAAACAAACGGGUUGCAUUCAUGCUUCUCACCUUUUUCUCCCACUGCAGUCAACGACAUAAUCCGCCCAUUUCACCCGUCUUGAAACACGGACCAAGGAGUCUAAUGGAUAUGUGAGUGUUAGGGUGCCAAACCCCAGCGCGCAAUGAAAGUGAAUGAUUCGUUCAGAAUCGACCGAACUUGAUUUUUAUGACAGUUUUGAGUAAACACAUCCAUUGGGACCCGAAAGAUGGUGAACUAUGCCUGAAUAGGGUGAAGUCAGAGGAAACUCUGAUGGAGGCUCGUAGCGGUUCUGACGUGCAAAUCGAUCGUAGAAUUUGGGUAUAGGGGCGAAAGACUAAUCGAACCAUCUAGUAGCUGGUUCCUGC
rnacentral:rRNA from 2 species